CUGGUUAUCCAGGCAAAUCCGGAUAACCAAGGCUGAGGUGUGAUGACGAGGCACUACGGUGCUGAAGUAACAAAUGCCCUGCUUCCAGGAAAAGCCUCUAAGCAUCAGGUAACAUCAAAUCGUACCCCAAACCGACACAGGUGGUCAGGUAGAGAAUACCAAGGCGCUUGAGAGAACUCGGGUGAAGGAACUAGGCAAAAUGGUGCCGUAACUUCGGGAGAAGGCACGCUGGUGUGUAGGUGAAGUCCCUGCGGAUGGAGCUGAGACCAGUCGAAGAUACCAGCUGGCUGCAACUGUUUAUUAAAAACACAGCACUGUGCAAACACGAAAGUGGACGUAUACGGUGUGACGCCUGCCCGGUGCCGGAAGGUUAAUUGAUGGGGUUAUCCGUAAGGAGAAGCUCUUGAUCGAAGCCCCGGUAAACGGCGGCCGUAACUAUAACGGUCCUAAGGUAGCGAAAUUCCUUGUCGGGUAAGUUCCGACCUGCACGAAUGGCGUAAUGAUGGCCAGGCUGUCUCCACCCGAGACUCAGUGAAAUUGAACUCGCUGUGAAGAUGCAGUGUACCCGCGGCAAGACGGAAAGACCCCGUGAACCUUUACUAUAGCUUGACACUGAACAUUGAGCCUUGAUGUGUAGGAUAGGUGGGAGGCUUUGAAGCGUGGACGCCAGUCUGCGUGGAGCCAACCUUGAAAUACCACCCUUUAAUGUUUGAUGUUCUAACGUUGGCCCCUGACCGGGGUUGCGGACAGUGUCUGGUGGGUAGUUUGACUGGGGCGGUCUCCUCCCAAAGCGUAACGGAGGAGCACGAAGGUUAGCUAAUCCUGGUCGGACAUCAGGAGGUUAGUGCAAUGGCAUAAGCUAGCUUGACUGCGAGCGUGACGGCGCGAGCAGGUGCGAAAGCAGGUCAUAGUGAUCCGGUGGUUCUGAAUGGAAGGGCCAUCGCUCAACGGAUAAAAGGUACUCCGGGGAUAACAGGCUGAUACCGCCCAAGAGUUCAUAUCGACGGCGGUGUUUGGCACCUCGAUGUCGGCUCAUCACAUCCUGGGGCUGAAGUAGGUCCCAAGGGUAUGGCUGUUCGCCAUUUAAAGUGGUACGCGAGCUGGGUUUAGAACGUCGUGAGACAGUUCGGUCCCUAUCUGCCGUGGGCGCUGGAGAAUUGAGGGGGGCUGCUCCUAGUACGAGAGGACCGGAGUGGACGCAUCACUGGUGUUCGGGUUGUCAUGCCAAUGGCACUGCCCGGUAGCUAAAUGCGGAAGAGAUAAGUGCUGAAAGCAUCUAAGCACGAAACUUGCCCCGAGAUGAGUUCUCCCUGAGACUAUAAGUCUCCUGAAGGAACGUUGAAGACGACGACGUUGAUAGGCCGGGUGUGUAAGCGCAGCGAUGCGUUGAGCUAACCGGUACUAAUGAACCGUGAGGCUUAACCUU
rnacentral:rRNA from 1 species